rnacentral:lncRNA from 1 species
UUUACCUGGAACUUAUUGGCAAUAGUAUGAGUCUGAACUUAUUGAAGAAAUAGUUAAAAGUGUGUUGAAGAAGUUGGAUCAUGUGCGAAUAGUUAAUUCAAAAGGACUUGAUGGAAUUGAAAAACAAAUUGCACAUGUAGAAUCAUUGUUACAAGUAGAGUCACAAGAUGUUCGUGCUAUUGGAAUUUGGGAUAAUGAUAAUGAUUUACAGUUGGAGGCUUCGAGUGAUGUGGACUUUAGGUGCGCCUUAGCGAGAGUCUCGCAAGCGUCCAAAGUUAUGACCAGCUAGGGUGUGUCUUU